CAUCCCUUCGUCUAGUUCGGUUCAGGACACAAGACUCUCAAUCUUGAAACACAGGUUCAAAGCCUGUAGGGAUGG
rnacentral:tRNA from 1 species